GGAGACCAGGUAGAAGUGUUUUGCUGGAGUGGUCCUGAUGUGGGAUGAUGGCAGCCCAGAUGAGAGGGGUGGCAAAUGAAACAAGCAGAAAGGAGAGAUGUAGGCCAUGGAACAGACAGAAGAGGACGUGGCCAGUAGUCUCUGGACCUUCUCAUCCAUUCCCAGCUCCUAGCACGUGGGCAGUGAGAUGGGAGAGGUGAGUCACUGCCCCACUGUCCACCAUGCUUUUGUAAUGCUCCCUGCUCACCCGUUCUGUGCUUUAGCCUCUACACCUUCAUGUGAAAUGUGGACAAUGAACUGAAAGGACACUCCGGGCCCCUUUCCUAGAGCUGAGCAAAAUCUGCUGUGGUCCCCAUGUAUUUAUGUGCUGAUCACCUGGGUUGACAGUGGAAUCUCACCUCCUUAUUUCCCAUUUGGGAAUUGUCUUCCUCUACAAUUCUCUCCUAUUUCAACAAUACAAAUAAACUCAGA
rnacentral:lncRNA from 1 species